CAAUAGAGCCAAACAUUUAGGAUAUAUUUGGUGCACAGGUUAGACAAGAUACAUAUUUUUCAAGGUAACAAUUCCUGAUUCCACACAUUACUAUGAUGAUUAUAAAAAUUUAUCCAAUUCAUUUAUGUUGAGCAUGAAGUGGUCAUUAUCAGCACCAUUCACGAGUUUGUUAAUAAGUAGUCAUAUAAAGAAUGGUUCAAACCAUCAUAUGACCUAAGUAAUUUAGCCUUUGUCACUGACUAAGCGGUGGUGAAUAACAAGCUUCUAUGUGUUCACAUAUAUUCCCAUUGUGCUCAAACCAUCAUAUGACCUACUGUUGUUUCGCAUUGUAGGUGGAGAAAAAAUAUGUCCAGCAAAUCUUAAUUUUGGUUUCAAAUUUUCAGUUAUAAGGAAUGGUUUUUCACUUCCAUGUUUGUGUUGAAUUGUUUGUUGAACCUUUGAGCAUUGAAUCCCGUCAACUAAUUGAAGAGUGAUAUUGAAAAGUGACAGCAAAGCAAGUCAACAAUGAACUUCCAGUAACUUAAAAUUUUGGACUCGGCUUUUCUUUUUCUUUUUGCUUUUUAUGCUGGGGGUUCACUAAUUCUGUUAGAUGUAACCGGUUCAUUGUUUUUGGUGUGCCAUAAAGUAACUUACAGAAUUGCUUAUUAAGAGGAAAGAAAUUUUUCUAGCUUAAUUACUGCUAAACAUUAAGUUAUGAUAGUUUAUACUAUCAUUUUCCCUGUUACGUUCACAUUUGUAUCUUGUGAAUUGGUUGAAAUGUUGAGGAGCAGCUGUCUAGGAGUUAAUGAAGAAGCAGUAGCCAGGUUUCUC
rnacentral:lncRNA from 1 species